rnacentral:hammerhead_ribozyme from 1 species
AUCCUGCUGACAAGUCUCAAAUAGGACGAAACGCGCGUCCUGGAU